rnacentral:lncRNA from 1 species
UCGCCCUCCACCGGGUGUCGCAUGCUUGCCCCUCGGGGGAUUCUAACCGGCCGGCCCGACGCAAUGCCAAUGCGCCCCUUCGCCUUGACCGACGAUGACCUCGCCGAGCUCUUCACCGUCAGAAACUAGUCGUUAAUACCUCAGAGGAGAUUUUCCUCCCCAGAGUUUCUCUCUCUAGAAACUAGCCGUUCUUGCACUUCAUAGCACUUAAGGAUGAUUUUUAGUCUUUGAGGAAUUGAAUUGUUACCUAACAUAAAGGAUCUCUAGGUUUUUUAUAGCUGCAGGGUUUCGAAUCUCCUGUGAAUUGUAUCUUAACAACCUAAGGUCAUGUGUAACCACUUGUAGAUUUAGCAUAAUCCUUGGAGGCUAUUAUGGUAAUCUUUGUGUCUGGCUUGAUGGUUGGAAUGCACUUUCGUGUGUAGGAAAAAUUGGCUGUUGAGGUGGUGAGGUUCAGGUCGACUUGGAGUAGACACCAAGCUGAGGAAUGUCCGAGCUACACUAUUUCUUGUCAAGUGAUUUGUGGCCUCGAAGGUCUUUUGGUUUGCCUGUCCUGCUUCCUAGUUUGACCAAGAUGGAUUUGGUCAGGCUACGCGGGAUGCCACACAAUGCUAAACUAGGCCAAUCCGGAUGUACUAUAUCAUCAAGUUCAUUUUCCACCACAACAAUAAUGAUCAAUAAUUGAAGCUUUCUAACAACAAAACUAUAUUAUUGUCAAGACUUUUGUCAUUGAUAAAAUAAUUUUCACAUGGUAAAAACAUUUUGGAGGAAAAUUUUGGGAAAGAAAUUGAAUUCAAAAGAUUAUUUUAUUAGGAGAAUAGUACAAAUACCAAAUUUAUUUAAUGAUGAAUCUUUAUAACGUUAUAAACCCAUAUAAAAUCAAUUAUAUAAUAUUAUAUGUUAUGAUAAUAUAAAGUAAAAGAUAACGGAGGAUAUGUCACAUAAUAGAGGAGGCCCCCAAAUGGUUACAAAAGGGCUAUUAUAUGCAAACUAGAGCUAAUCACGGGCCUUCUGGCCCGCCCAGUCUGACUUAGAAUUUUUCGGGCUUGGGCAUUAAAAAAAAGGCCCAUGGGUCGGGCCUGAGCAGGAAAAGUGGCCCGACCAAAAAAUCGGGCCGGGCCUAGAAACUUUUAAAAAUGACUCGGCCCGGCCCGCGUUUUAUAUAUAAAACA